rfam:Dipodomys ordii ctg_broad_rename0000616, whole genome shotgun sequence.
GAGAAGGUGGCUCAGUGGUAGAGUACUUGCCUUGCAUGCAUGAGGCCCUGGGUUCAAUUCCUCAUCAACACA